UUCCUUUCCCCAGUUUUCUCUCGUUCCAUCUUCUUCCCUGCUUUGCUCUUGGCAGACUAGAACCUUCAUUGCAUCCCAGCAAGAAACCUUGACCCGUCUCUCUGCUACCAGGAUGAAUCCUGAAUUCUUCACCGCUUUUAUAACCUUCUCGUCUCUUAUUCCUGAUCUUCUCGCGAUUUGGUAUUUUACAGUUCUUCUGAUUGGCUCGGCUAGCCAUCUCCAAGCCCCGCUUUGCAUCAUGUCUGUGCCGAUAGUUAGGGAGGAACAGAACUCAAUUAUCCUAUCCAGUUCUACUGAAGUCCAACUUAUGAUCUGUGGUGGGAUGAUGAACGAGGGGGAUGUGGCCAUUACAGAAGAGAGCACUAACCAACUACCGGUCUGCUGCACACAAAAAAGAAAAGAUAAUAGACACGAUAAUUUCAUGAAUUCUUUCCAACUAUGGAUUUGAUGAAUUCUUUCAUAAUGAUUAGAUGAAGGUGGAUGGAUGGAUUUCGAGCAUUAAAUCCGGCUGCCGGGUUUAAACAGAGGUUCGCCGCUUGGGUUUUAAAACUGCUGUCUUACUUGUCAAAUUUGGUGAUAAGCUUUGUCUUUCAUACCUGUUCAUUAUAAUUUUCCUGCUUUUUCAGGGGUUUGACAA